AAAACAGGAUAGUCGCUGAUCUUCCUUCAAGUGUCCAUUCCCAGUGUUAGGACGGGUGUAUUCAUCGCCCCCAACUGAAGACGGUCCAGACGUCCAUUGACAACAGAAUGGAUGAAUAAACCGUGGUGUGUUCACGGGACAGAAUCCAACAAGGCAGCAACAGUAAACAAGCUUCAGGUGCAGCCACAACAGGACUCUCUUGCAGGCUCACCGUGAGAUGGCUUUGCCAUGGUGCAGGUGGAGGAUGGAGGAGUCCUGUGCCCAGGUCGCCAUGGUCCUGAACCAGAACUGUGUAACGGGUGGGAAGAAUACACCAGAAGAAUGUUCCCCCGAAUUUGUGUUUU